rnacentral:rRNA from 1 species
CGCGGCCUAUCAGCUUGUUGGUGAGGUAACGGCUCACCAAGGCAUCGACGGGUAGCUGGUCUGAGAGGACGAUCAGCCACACUGGGACUGAGACACGGCCCAGACUCCUACGGGAGGCAGCAGUAGGGAAUCUUGCGCAAUGGGCGAAAGCCUGACGCAGCAACGCCGCGUGGGGGAUGAAUGCCUUCGGGUUGUAAACCCCUUUCAGCAGGGACGAAAAUGACGGUACCUGCAGAAGAAGCUCCGGCCAACUACGUGCCAGCAGCCGCGGUAAUACGUAGGGGGCGAGUGUUGUCCGGAAUUAUUGGGCGUAAAGAGCUCGUAGGCGGUUCAGUAAGUCGGGUGUGAAAACUCAAGGCUCAACCUUGAGACGCCACUCGAUACUGCUGUGACUUGAGUCCGGUAGAGGAGUGUGGAAUUCCUGGUGUAGCGGUGAAAUGCGCAGAUAUCAGGAGGAACACCAGCGGCGAAGGCGGCACUCUGGGCCGGUACUGACGCUGAGGAGCGAAAGCAUGGGGAGCAAACAGGAUUAGAUACCCUGGUAGUCCAUGCCGUAAACGUUGGGCACUAGGUAUGGGAUCAUAUCAACGGAUUCCGUGCCGUAGCUAACGCAUUAAGUGCCCCGCCUGGGGAGUACGG